rnacentral:lncRNA from 1 species
UUAAUUCUUCAUUAGAGAGAAUCCGUGAGAAAGAGUGAGGGAUCUAGUGAUAGGGAGAAUGAUGAUGUGAAUAGUGUAGGUGGUAGCUGAGUGAGGGUAGGUGGUAGGUUUUGAGGAACAUAUUAAUGAAAGCAGAGAGUGAGUGGGGACGCGUGCUCUUUUAUGAGUGAGGUCCUCAAUCUUUCUUUUUUGUUUUUUCUCUUGUAGCCUGUGAGAAGGUGAGCUUUUUAUAAUUAUUUUUUAUUCUUUUUGUAACGUUGGCAGGAGAGAGUGACUAAAGGGUGAGGUGGUGAGAGAUGGAGGGAGAACGUGAGAAUGGUAGGUGAAGAGAGAGAGACGGGCACGUGUUGCCUGUGAGAGAGAAAAAUGUGUCCCUUUUUAUUCUUCUUUUCUUUUCUUUCAGAGAGUGGAGAGAAGGGUGAGGGAGUCAGGUGCGAGGUUGAGAGAUUUUAUUUUCUUUUUGUUUUUAGUGAGAGAUCCGUUGGUGGUACCAGUUGGCAGUUUUAGAAGGGAUCCAAUGCUAUUAAAUCUAUCUAUUUUGUUAACAAUUAUUAUUAUCUAUUAUUAAAGAAAAAUAUUUAUUAAAAAUUCCUAAACAGUAAUUUUAUUUAAGUAAUAAUAAUAAAACAAUCUCUAAUUUGGAUACUAGAACAAAGAAAUAAAAGGACCGAUUAUAAACAGAAGUCGGAUGAAGAUUUGCUCGAAAAAUUAAAUCAGACACACUAAAAUGAUUAGCACAAAAUAUACUUAUUGAAAAAAUACAGCGUUUUCUCAAAUUCUGAAAUAAAUUUUCAUCGGUAAAAAGGCUCAGGCGGGUCAAAAUGCAGCUGAAAUAGUUGUUGAAAAUUAUAACGAGCACACCAGGUUAAACUACGUGAACUGUAAGCUAAUAAUACUGGCGUCUGUAAUUUUAAAUUUGAAACUUUUUACCCGCUGAUUUUGCGUGUUCUUGAGAAACGAUUUAACCGAUUGUCUGUAUUUUCAAUAAAUUUAUUCUGACUGAUAUUUUAGGUAUUAUUCAUGAUGAAAUGUAUGUCAUGUUGUGUGUAUGAUGCAAAUUAAAAAUGAAAUCAAUUUUAUGAAAAUUUAAAAUGCCCGGACAAAAUUGGGGUAUGACAGCUACCCCUAUUUAAUUAAUCUUGAACUAGAAGGUAAGAAUGACGACAAUCUUCAUACAUUCAUGGUGGAAGGUAAUUAAAUACGAAAAGAUCCAAAUUUUGUCCUUUGAAAUGCAAUGGAGAAAUGCAGAAAGAAAAUGCAAUGGGUUCUAACAACACCAAGGUAAUAGGGGUAGAAUGCCAAACCAAUGCCAACCCUCGAAUUGACACUCAAAUCUUGCAAAGGUCGUUAUUUGGUGUAAGGGCAAAUGUGGACAGGUUUUCUGGCACCAAAAGGAUUACAAUAGAAUUAAUUGUCAUCACCAAAAGGAUGAUGGAUAAACCAAGCUUUAAAAGUAGUCAUCACCAAAAGGAUGAUGGUUACAGUGGCUACAACAAAGAUCGCCAUCCCCAGAAGGAUGAUGGUAAGAUCAACAACAAAUCUUGCUAUCACCAACAAGAUGAAAGUUAAACACAAUCCAAAGAUUUCCAUCACCAAAAGGAUGAUGUCCGUCACCAAAAGGAUAAUGGUUAUUCUGAUAACGUUUCCCAUUACCGAGAGUAUAAUAUCAAGGCUACCACCAAAAGGAUGAUAGUUAACUUAUCAACUUCAAAGAUCACACCAUCACCAAAAGGAUGAAGGUAAGAUCCAACAACAAGACUGGUUAUCCCCAAAAGGAUGAUAAUAAGUCAACGAUCAUCAAUGAUCACCGUCACCAAAAGGAUGAAGGUAAAGUCACACAACAAACUUGUUAUCACCAAAAGGAUGAUAACAAGUCACGACACCUUAACUGAUAACUAUCACCAAAAAGAUGAAGGUAAGAACACAACUUUCCAAACUUGUUAUCACCAAAAGGAUGAUAAUAAGUCAACGACCACCAUUCACCAAAAGGAUGAAGGUCAGAUAAAAGACGAAACUUGUUACCACCAAAAGGAUGAUAAUAAGUCAACAACUCAAAUGAUCACCAUCACCAAAAGGAUGAAGGUAAGAUCAAAAACAAAACUUGUUACCACCAAAAGGAUAUAUAAGUCAAUAACUUCAAUGGCUACCACUCACCAAAAAGAUGAAGGAGGAUCAAACAACAAAACUCGUUACCACCAAAGGAUGAUAAUAAGUCGAUGACUUUUAUGGAUCACCGUCACCAAAAGGAUGAAGGUAGGAUCGAACCACAGAACUUGUUAUCACAAAAGGAUGAUAAUAAGUCGAUAAUUACCAUUACCAAAGGAUGAAGGUACUACAAACACAGGACUCGUAUUGCACCAAUAGGUGAUUAGAUGAAUCAACAAUCACCAUCACCAAAAGGAUGAAGGUGAGAUCAUAACUUCGAAACUUGUUACCACCAAAAGGAUGAUAAUAAGUUAUACUAACUUCAAAUAUUCCUGACACCAGAAGGAUGACAGUAAGAUUAAACAACAAAACCUGUUAUCACCAAAAGGAUGAUAAUCAAGUCGAACUAGACGUCACCACCGAAAGGAUGAUGAUUAGACAUAAUAACAAAGAUCACCAUCAACAAAAGGAUGAUUGUUGAACCAAAAUGACAAGGAUCCUUAUCACCAUAAAGAUCGCUGACACCAAAAGGAUGACGGUAAGCUGUAAUAAUUGCAGAGGUCGCCAUUCUUCAAAAGGAUGAAGGUUAGGCCAAAAAUUUCAAGGAUCGCCGACACCAAAAGGAUGGCGGUAAGAUCACACGACAAAACUUGUUACCACCAAAAGGAUGACAAUAAGCUUUAAUAAUGAGGGGUCUCCAUUCACCAAAAGGAUGAGGGUUAAACCAAAACUUCAAGGAUCUUCGACACCAAAAGGAUGACGGUAAGAUCAAACGACAAAACUUGUUACCACCCAAAAAGAUGAAAAUAAACUUUAAUAAUGAAAGGUCGCCAUUCACCAAAAGGAUGAAGGUCAGAUCAAAACCUCAAGGAUCUUCGACACCAAAAGGAUGACGGUAAGAUCAAAAAUGUCAAGGAUUUACCAUUACCAAAAGGAUAACAGUUACCGUAAAUAGGACAAUGAUCAAUAUUAUUCCUCAAUGGAGUUUCACCAAAAGGAUGAUAGUGAGAAAAAUAUUGGAAAAAUAGGGCUACUUUCAAAGUUCAGUAAACCUGAUUUGCUGGGUAGUAUUGGAGAAUUACUGGGUAGGACUUGCUUGGGGUUUCAACAACAAAAGGUUGCAGAACAAUAUUCUCUGGGAGAUGUAGUUUCCAUCAACAAAAGGUUUAAAAGGAACAACUCAUUGAGGGACGCUCAACGCGAAACAAGGUAAGUGUUUAGAGAAACAAUGUUUGACUUAGCUGAGGAUAACGUCCUAUCAACAAAAGGUUGAAGGAUGUAACUCAAUGGGGAACACUCGAUAGUAGGGUAGGAACUCACUUAGAAAAAGUGUCAAUGACUCAACUGAGGGUUGGCCUGGAUGCCCACGACUAAACCAUGGAUGUUGAUUUGUGCUAUAUGCAUAAAUGAUAUGCGUGAAAAGAUGCAUGAGAUGAUGCAUGUGAUGUAUGUAAUGCAUGUUUGAAUGCAAAGGAUAAUUGGUUUGUUUGGGAUUGGUCCCCCCUUCUCAAAGGCGACGUAUUUUUGGAUACCAAUGCUGGUUGUGUUUGUUUUUGUGAGGAUGCCAGCAGAGUGGACUCUGGUUUUUUUUUUGGAACUGUCAAUGUGGAUUGGAUUGUUGGUUGGUGGAAGGAUCUGACUUCCCGACACUCGGUAGUUGAUGAUGUGAUGAACACACAAUAGGCGUGGAUACUCUUUGUGCUCCAAGUUUGAUCUCUUGCUGAUAUGUUGUGUUUUUGUCUUUGAGAAGAUCUCGAUUUCUCCUUCUGAGAUGUCUGGCCAGCCUGUAACUGAGCAUGGCGACAUGAUCAACACAUGAUGAUUAUGUUCUUGACGUGCCGCAAGGUUUCUUGUCAAGAUGUGAUAUUAUACUGGUAUGAACUUUCGAUAUUUUGGUUGUGAAUUCAAGCAGUCACUAAUGUCUGACGCAAUCUGCUUGACUGACUUGAAGAUAUGGAGGGAACUUGCCCCUUGUAACUUGUCUUGCCCCUGAUCAGCUUUUGAGGUACUUUACCCAGAUGGGUUGAGUAUUGAAGUGUUUUUCCUCCCUGAUCAACCGAUGCUUGGAGAUUUGUCUUACACUGAGUACUUCUUAAGUCAACAUAAUCAAAAAUAUGCCAUGCCCUCAAUCCAUAGGAUUAUGAGAUGAACUUGAUUCGUGUUGGCACCAACGAUCAAAUACCACUCGAAUUGCCCCUUGUUGGAAUUUUCCUCGAUGUCAAGUACUGAUUGACAAUUAAGAAUUGUUAUUCAAGAAAUGGUGAUUUUAAUGCAAUAGUUUAUGCAAGUUUUGAAAAACAUUCAUUCACCUGGGAGUGUUGUAGUAAUGUGUGACAAGUGGACCAUGAGUCCAAUUGCGGUGUUGAUUUUGCCAGUGUGUGAGUGACAUAGUGAGAAUAGAAUAUUAGCAAAUCUCUAGGAGUCAGCUUACUCAACCUUGCUGUAGUAUGCUUUCAGAAUAAACCCUAUUUCAAUUAGGUCUUUUGAAGGUUGUAACGUGGCUUGGUUCACGGUUAUUGAAACAAAUGGAUAUAAGGCUCAAAGUUUAUUUUAACCCACCCCUUCUUCACGAUGAUCUCCAAUCCUACGCUCAGUUAAUUCGACAUAUACUUUACUUUUAUGAGAGUUCAACAGUGUAAGGUCUAUUGACAUGGUAGUCAUCCUAUUUUGCUCUUCAUGGAUGUUGGUGACCCUUUGACUUGGGUAUGGUGGUCACUGAUUCUUGUUUUGUUUUGUUUGAGGAUUUUCAAUUCCUCUUUUGAUUUUUGUUUUGAUCCCUAACUUUUGCAUGGACCGCUUGUUAAAGCUUUAAUCCAUCGGGAUUGCCCCAGUUUUUGCCUAAGUCUCCUUUUAGGAUGUUGGAUUUAGCGGGCUCUUUCUUUGAUUGAUUUUUUUGGAAAUUGUGACUGCCAAGUUAUCGGUCAUUGAAGAACAACCGACAUAAAAUUGGGAUUUGUAUGGUACCUUCGACACUUCAGGAUGUGUGCGAAGAAUAUCAUGUGAUUGAUCCUUGUAUGGGAUAUUUCACCUUUGUAAUUUGAGUGCGUAGUCAGAUUAACUGAACACUACCCUGCCCCAGGUUAAACGUAAGGGUUUUGUAGAUCCAAAAGAAAUUCCUACUUCUAGGCUCGAAGUGGUUGACUAGGGAUUAACUUCUUAUAUCUCCAAUGUUUGGGGAUUUGAAUCAAUGCCUGUACAUCAUUAGUAGGGUUUUAUCCGAAAGCAUACAAUCAACAAUUAUGAGUAUUUCGUUUUCGUCAUCCUCCUUCCAACAUUUACUAACGAUAGUGUGAUAAAGGAGGUGAAGUGGAAAAGUAUGUGUUUAUGAUUUGCAAAGAUGAUAGAUGAGUGAAUAUGAAAGAUUGAUUCAAAUCAUGCAUAAUCAUCCCAUUAAUAAGACCAAAUACAAAUAACAAUGUUUAAAGCAUACAGUACUUAAACAAACAAGAACAAAUUACAAAAGUGCGAAAUGGUAAAAAAUGGCAUAAUGAUUGCCUUCAUUCGAAGACACGGGCCUUUAUCUCUUGAUUCUCUGUGAGGAAUCGCUCUGCUUGUUCAGGCCGGUGGGAAGCUUUAUCUUCGAGCUUCACUUGACUCUGCAUGCGCUGGCAUGGGAUUUGUUACAACGUUUGGCCUAACUGGCGUGAAAGUAACUGCCUUACUGUCAAUCAGGUCCUGGACCUUGGGCUUGAAGGCCUUACCGUUCUCUAUUGUGUGUCCUGGGGCACCCAUGUGAUACUCACAGUGAGCGUUGGCGUCAUAGCCUGGAGGAUAUGGUGGAGUUGCAGGUGUUAGCUCCUUCAAAGCAACCGAUCCAUCCUUUAGCAGGUAAGGAAGGAUCUUGCUGUAUGGUACCGGCAAUGGAUCAAAAUGUCUUUCCGGCCUCCUUGCUCUUUGCUGGUUAGGUUGACGUUGUUGUGGAGCACGUUGCUGUUGAUUCUGAUGUGGCUGCUGAUAAGCUGGUUGUUGAUAAGGCUGCUGAUAUUGUUGCUGAUGCGGUUGCUGAUAUGGUGGCUGAUAUGGCGUUGGGAUGACAGUGGCAACCUGAUGGUAAGGUACAGGAACAUAUGAAUGUGUCCUAUAUCCUCCCCCUCCUAUUAUGGCAUUGGUCUACCCUUCUGGCUUCUUCGGGAGAUUGGGAUAGGGUUUCUUCAUCCCACUUGAAGCAUUGGCAACACAAGCUUUCCCUUCUUGAUCUGGCUCUAGAUUCGUUCUCCCACGGAGACAACCUCAACAAAUUUUAGGAAACUAGAUCCUACCAUUUUCUCCAUGUAUUGGGUAUGCAGAGUUCCCAUAAACAUAUCCAUUAGCUCCUUAUCAAGGAGAGGAGGCUGGACACGAGCCGCUAGCUCUCUCCACCGUUGUGCGUAUUCCUUGAAUGACUCAUUAUUACGUUGAGUCAUGUCCUGCAGUUGUGUGCGAUUGGGUGCUAGAUCAGUGUUGUACUGAUAAUGCCUGAGGAAAGCUUCAACAAGGUCUCUCCAUGACUGGACUUGUCCUCUCUCUAGCUGCAUAUACCACUCCAAGGAUGCCCCACUGAGGCUAUCUUGGAAGUAAUGAAUCAGGAGUUGAUCAUUACUGAUGUGGGCAGCCAUCUUGCAACAGUAGGCUCUGAGAUGAGUCAUAGGGCAGUAGAUCCCCUUGUACUUGUCAAAGUCUGGGACUUUGAAUUUCUGCGGAAUCACGAGGCCUGGUACCAAGCACAUGUCAACAACGUCCAAACCGGGAGUAGUGUGAACCUCCAAGGACUUAAACUUCUCUUCUAGAGCAUGGAGUCUCUCAACAGCAGGGUUUAGGAGACCUCCAACAACAGGUUUGACGGGUUGUGGCAUGAAGAAAACGUCAUAAGGAUCUUCAUCACCCAUCAUGGAUCCAUGUUGAGCAGAUGUAGCAGGAUGCUCAUGGGGGUUCAUGUUGACCAUGGGAACAGGAAUAGGGAUCGGUCCUCCUCUAGGCUGGGCAGGGUUACCAUCAGGUUCAGUUACUCCAGGGAUACUAAGCGAUGGUGAUCCAAACUGAGCAGCAACUUUCCUGGCUUCGGCGCUAGUCUCUGCAUCCUUCUCCUUAUGGGCUAGGAGCAACAUGGUUUCCAGCAAGCGAUCCAUCUUUUCCUGCAUGGAGUCAAUGUCUGUUCUCAUCGAGACUUGGUUGGCUUCAAGCUAUUCGAGUGUCAUCCUGUAGUUGCGGCGUGUCUCGUAUCGGUGUCGAGUAGUCAGUGUUACUGGAUAAAGGGUAGAAUAUGGUAUAAGUUUUUUAUUUCUGGACAAUGAUAUGCAAUGCAUGUUGAUGAUAUGCAAAUGCAUGAAAUUCUGCCAUGUUUUUCACAAAGGAAAACAGAUACUCAAGAUCAUUCAUACGUCGGGUACAUCGGGAUAACAAGGACAAGCACAGGUUUCUCUGAUUACUAGAAAUUCCCCAAAGGUAUGUUCUAAAGUUAUGUUUUCGAGGAAGGAACUUAGACUCACGGACCAGGUUCAAAACUUCCUCGCAAUGGUGGGCUGGCCACAUUGUGAUGGGAGUUCUGAAACGAUCUAAACUAAUUGGGAUUCUCAUAUUGUUCGAACAGGGUGUAUACCCUUCGGUUCAAUACUACAUAAUCGCCAAUCAUGAAAACAAAACCUGGGUUUAAGGCGAGGUCCCUAGAGUCACGGAUCGUAUUUAGAACCUCCCCACAAUAAUGGGCUAGCCAUAUUAUGAUGGAAACUCCAAACAGAUCUACUCUAGGUAAGGCGAGGUCCCUAGAGUCACGGAUCGUAUUUAGAACCUCCCCACAAUAAUGGGCUAGCCAUAUUAUGAUGGAAACUCCAAACAGAUCUACUCUAGGUGGAGUCUUCGUAUUGUCCCAAUGAGGUGUGCACCCCUCGGUUCAAUACUAUACAACUCCGGGUUCUAAGUUUUUCUCGAUGCUCGGGUAUGGAGCUUAUCUCAUAGCAUACAUCAAAUCCCCUAUCAAAGUAUCAAGGCAAAUUACAUACAACACAAGCAACCAGAAUAAAAUAUAGAGAAAUAAACAUGGAAGAAAAGAAUAUCUUCCAACAGUCAUAACAAAAUCAGACUAAGUUAGGCUAGACUCUCUCUUGCUUUGAGCAGAGUCCCCAGCAGAGUCGCAAGUCUGUCGCACCUCGAAAAAUGCGAUCCCUCGCGAUGGACGCAGAAAAAUAUUGUUCGAAACAGAGUCGCCACCGAAAUUUAUUCAUUCCAAUGAAGGAAUAGGAAAAUAUCGAGAAAACCUUUAAGAAAAUGGAAUAAUCAUCGUCGAAACCAUAUUCGGGUUCAGGAGUCGAUUACGCAACGGGAAGGUAUUAGCACCCCUCACGUCCGUUGUACUCAACGGGAACCUUUUAGUCCAAUUUGCUAUUUGAAUGUUAGUUGACUGUUAUUCGCUUUCUUCGAGUAAUUAGAAUUGAUAAUAGAUAUGGAUGAAGACCUCAGAAAGGGGAAAAGGGAGGUUUUUUAUUAGUGUGCACGUGAAGAUACAACAAUCUCCUGCCUACGUAUCCUUAUGGUGCAAUAAGGAAAUCAGAGCAUUCGUAGUUCGGGCACUACGAAUAAUUGGUGUGUUUUGUUUGAUGAACGACUAUGUAGGCCGACGUUCUAAAGGCUAAACAUUGGCUUGUCUACUCUCGGUGGAGGCUCUAGCAAUAGUUUGUUGCGCGCAUUAGAAAGGAUUUACAGUGUUCUUUUUGAAAAUAUUCUUGGUCACGCGGGGGUGACAAGUUGAAUUGAUGUGUUUGAUGUUUUUGGUUUGGUUUCGAUCGCGCAGGGGCGAGAAGUUAGUUUAAUUUGUUUGAGAUGUUUUGAAGAACGACGAAAGAUUGAGCAAUGUGGUGCACACCAAUCGUCCAAUUCUUUCGAGGAAUAAUAAGGCGACCGCCUUCUACUCCCUUUUUCGUUCGAAUUAUUUUAAAAGUUUGUUUGUGGAUGUUGAAUGUGCACGGUAGUGAGGCGUGCGCCUCCUACUUACUUAUUCAAAGAAUAAAGAGGCGUGCGCCACUUAUUCCUUUAUCCAACAAAUUAAUUUUACAUAAUCAGCCUUCAACUACUAAACACAUUAUACCGUAGCUCUAAUUAUUCAAAUAAUCGAGAGAUGGUGAGGCGAACGCCUCCCAUCUUUUAUCAUCCGAAAUUUAUAAAGGAUGUGUUUUUAGAUGUUAUAUUUGAUUUGCAAAAAAUAGUUCGAAUUUUGAAUUGGUAGGUUUUGAUCAAAAGUUGAUUAUUUGAGCAACGUGGCAUGCGCCACUCGUUCGAAUAAUCAAAGAAUGGUGAGACGAACGCCUCCCAUUCUCUUCAAUUGAAGUGUAAGUUGUAAAGUUUAUUUUGUGAAAUUGUGUUUGAUCUAAGAGAUGAUUUGAAUUUAUUCGAUUGCAUUUUAAUUUGACGGCGAGAAUUCGAUCAAUAUGGCGUACACCAAUUAUUCGAAUUAAUCGAAAGAUGGUGAGGCGAACGCCUCCCAUCCUUUUAUUAUCGGAAACUUAGAAUUAAAAGGAUUUAGAAUUUGUAGUUGAUUUAGAAGACGUGAUUUGAAAUGUUAUGGUUUGAUGUUUUAAUCGGGCGAAAAGAAUUCGAGCAAUAUGGCAUACGCCAAUCGCUCGAGUAAUUGAGAAAUAGUGAAGCGAACGCUUCCUAUAUUCUUUUUCAUCCCAAGUUUAAAUUAUAAAAAAAAAAUAUUCUUAAGUAUUAUAUUAAUUUAGAAAAAUGGUUUAAAUUUCGUACGAUUAAUGUUUUGAUUGGAUGACGGGGAUUCAAGCAAUAUGGCGAACGCCAAUUAUUCAAAUACUCGAGAGAUAGUGAAGUGUACGCUUACUAUACCCCUUUUCAUCCAAAGCUUUAGAUUCAUAAAAAUAGCAUUUUUAAGAAUUAUAGUUGAUUUGGAAAAAUAAUUUGAAAUCAAAUUUGGGAGAAUUCAUCGGGUUGGAAAAUAACACUUGACUUUGAAUCAAGGUUUCUGUCUUAUUGAAACGAUUUGCCCAAAUAUAUUAUCGCUUGUUAAUUAGUUUCAAAUGUGAUUACAAACGCAUAAUUAGGUAAUGGAUGCAAUGGAUGACAAUAUAGAGUUAAAUAACUAAACAAUCAAAUGGAUAUUAUCCAUUAAUUAUAACUUUUAAUACAUCAUUUAAUUUAUGGUAUUAAUAGUGAUUAACAGGAUUAAUUAGCUCGAUCAAUAACACUGUUAAUUAAUCUUAAUUACCAAACUUAAUUGAAUUAAAGUAACUUAACUAAUUGAAUUAAGAAGUUAGAAUAAACGAGGACUCAUUACUUGUAUGAGGUGUUUAAUAUACACUAUGGGCUUAAAGCUAUAUUUCAGAAACGUGCUUACCUUAAUAAUAAAAUUGAUAGUAAAAAGAAUAGGAAAAAAAAGUGAAACGAGUGGUGGUGCCUUUACUGUUACAACUCUCUUGUUUUCUCUAAAAGCCAAAAUAGCAUUCACUAAGAAGCAGACCUAUGGUAGCAUGGCAAGAAAAACGGAAAACAUAUGCAGAGAAAGAAUAUACAACAAGAAUGAAUGGCAAAAUCUGGAAAAUAUUCUCUUUUUCUCCAAGGGGUAGAAAUCAAUACCAAACCAUACCAUGCAACACAAUCCACAAUCAACAAAUAACUCCAAAUCGAACUAGUGGAGAUCAUAAUCAGUGGAAAUGACAACCAAAUUCACUUUUAUUUUGACAGAGCCAACAUUCUUUCCUAACCAAUUCUUAUCCUUGUCAAAACUUAAAAAAGUGUAGAAAGACUUAGAAAAAAUAGAGCAGCAACAAGUGCAAGUACCCACAUCUUUCUAAAAUCCAAAAUAAAGAUCAAUCAAUCUAGGCUUCCUCAUCAAUUAAAUGUGCACAAUGAAACUUCAAAAUCCUAACGAGAACACGAAUAAUCAAACAAUCAAACCACGAAAAUCACACUAUUCUUCGCCGAAAUCGAAUACCAACAUAGCAUAAUUAAAUCGAAAAUGAAAUAAACACAAACCCAAACAGAACUAUAAUGGAAACCAACACGGAACCAACUUGAAAUAAUAAUCAAAACAACGGCUACAACAAGUAUAACACGACGCAAAUCGUUACCGUGAUGUCGAAAUGUUGUAGCCAUUUGGGAGCUUGUCGAGCUUGUUGUUUUGCCGUAAGUUAUGGCUCUGUGACGUCGGAGACGGAAACAAAAAUUCGUGUGCGUAGAAACUUGUUGUUGGCGUUGUUAUUGUCGUUUGAAAUCGUGAAUCACAUAUGUGUUGCCACAAUCAUUGGUAGAGCAGGGCGAUGUUGUCGUUGCCGGAAGAGAGAACGUGGCAAUGGUGUUACCAGAAGUCUCGAUAGUUGAAACUGAGGGCGUCGGAAACGGUGGAUGGUUGUUGCGAAGGGGUUGCCGCGGUGAUGAGUGGAAGGUGCGGCGGUGAUUUGGCGGUGGAGGUUGUGUUGUGAAGGGUUCGUCGGAUGAGGUUGUCGCGUGAAGGCGAAGGUCGCGCGAUGGGUGGAGAAGACGGAGAGAGAAACGACGGCUCGCGGCGGGCGACUUGGGUGCUUAACAGAGGGUUGCACGGAGGCUUCGGCGGUGGAUCUUGGACGGAGAAGUAGAGGGUGGUGGCGGCGUAAGUUGCUAUGGUGGUGAGUGCGGUAGAUUUGGGAAGAGGAACAGUCGUUCCUCUUUUCUUUUUUUCUUUUUUUUUUUAAUUCUUCAUUAGAGAGAAUCCGUGAGAAAGAGUGAGGGAUCUAGUGAUAGGGAGAGUGGUGAUGUGAAUAGUUUAGGUGGUAGCUGAGUGUGGGUAGGUGGUAGGUUUUGAGGAACGUAUUAAUGAAAGCAGAGAGUGAGUGGGGACGCGUGCUUUUUUAUGAGUGAGGUCCUCAAUCUUUCUUUUUUGUUUUUUCUCUUGUAGCCUGUGAGAAGGUGAGCUAUUUAUAAUUAUUUUUUAUUCUUU